CAGUCGCCGCGGUAAUACGUAGGGUGCAAGCGUUAAUCGGAAUUACUGGGCGUAAAGCGUGCGCAGGCGGUGAUGUAAGACAGUUGUGAAAUCCCCGGGCUCAACCUGGGAACUGCAUCUGUGACUGCAUUGCUGGAGUGCGGCAGAGGGGGAUGGAAUUCCGCGUGUAGCAGUGAAAUGCGUAGAUAUGCGGAGGAACACCGAUGGCGAAGGCAAUCCCCUGGGCCUGCACUGACGCUCAUGCACGAAAGCGUGGGGAGCAAACAGGAUUAGAUACCCCUGUAGUCCCUGUCUCUUAUAC
rnacentral:rRNA from 1 species